UGGGGAAUAUUGGACAAUGGGCGAAAGCCUGAUCCAGCCAUGCCGCGUGUGUGAAGAAGGUCUUCGGAUUGUAAAGCACUUUAAGUUGGGAGGAAGGGCAUUAACCUAAUACGUUAGUGUUUUGACGUUACCGACAGAAUAAGCACCGGCUAACUCUGUGCCAGCAGCCGCGGUAAUACAGAGGGUGCAAGCGUCAAUCGGAAUUACUGGGCGUAAAGCGCGCGUAGGUGGUUUGUUAAGUUGGAUGUGAAAUCCCCGGGCUCAACCUGGGAACUGCAUUCAAAACUGACUGACUAGAGUAUGGUAGAGGGUGGUGGAAUUUCCUGUGUAGCGGUGAAAUGCGUAGAUAUAGGAAGGAACACCAGUGGCGAAGGCGACCACCUGGACUAAUACUGACACUAAGGUGCGAAAGCGUGGGGAGCAAACA
rnacentral:rRNA from 1 species